AAAAAUCCCCACACGAUUAUGUCGCUCUUCCCACUGCCACCAUUUUUUUCAUUGAGCAAAUCCAAACGACAUUAAAUAAACCAAAAGCUCUAAGCCGUCCAGUUGUCUAAAAGCUAGGAUUGGUUUGGUCUGGUUUGAGCAUGUCGCUUAUGUUUAUUGUAUUUCAUGUUAAUCUUCGUUUUACUUUAAAUCGACUAUUAAAGGUCCCCUGAGGGACGGGUGUUCCAAACUAGUCACGGCUAUAAACUAGCAAAAAAGUGAACAAUAAAAAACAUACGAGAUUCGAAUGUUGCUACCCGCUCACACCCUCUGUAAUCAAAGCAGACUUUAUUGUUAUUUACCCAAAACAUAGUGGACAAUAAGUCCUCACCAGAUAGAAUAAGUUGUUCCAGCUCAUCAAAUUGUGAUGUUUGUUUUUUGUUUUGUUUUUGUCACGACACCAGCAGCGAGCGAGUGGAACGCUCUGAAUAUGGCCUGGAAAUCGACAGGGAGUUUGGCCAGGAGACGGGUUGCAUGAGAAGAGGAGCGGCUUGAAGUAGCAGGGAGGAGAGGAGCUUGCCAAAACUGAAGGCUUAGGCCUGAAGGCUUUUGGCAGGUGUUUUGUCUCUGCUAUCCAUCCAGCUGCUGACUACAAACAUGGGAGGCGUUUCAAGAAAAUCUAUUAGCUGUUUGGACAGGCUGUAAUCUGAGUGAUCUUCUGCUUUGCUGCUUGUACUCAUCUCUGCAGGCUGACUGCUAAUUAAUUUUUUACAAGACUACAUUUUAUGAAAUAGUGAAAAAAAAGAGAAGAAAAGACAAUGACGUGUCUGUGAAAACCUAAAAUUAAACUUUAGAGCCUCUGCUGUAACCUGCAAUAAUAAGUUGUGAAUUACAACUUGUAUAUAUGUUUUUUUCUCUUUUUUUUUUCAAUGAUUAGCAGGGGUGUAAUAAGAUUUUGAACGAAAUUACCCAACAUAGUUGCUCCUCAAUAUUCCUCAUUUAAGCCUUACAAACAACUGUCUGUUUGCUCUCAGAUAUGAAGAGGACUUCUUUGAGAUUUACACCUUGAAUGUGUUUACGUGGGUCUCAUUUUUAAGUAAGACAGGAAGUAGUUCUUGAGUUGACCUGUUGUGCUGACAGAGUUGACUACAGAAGGCUGCCUUCUGGUCUAGCUAGCAACAUUCGGUUGCAAAUGUGUUGAAGAAGCUUACAUUACCUUUUGAGUAGUUUGUCUGCCAGCACAGAGACAGAAACUAUAAAAAUAUUGUGACUAGCUGUAACCUGCUAAUGACGCUAAUGAUGCUAAUGUCGGGAUGUGCUGCGGAGCUUCCUGUUGCCAUCAAACCUGCAGUACAUCUUCACAACUUGUUGCACGAACGUACAAACAUCGCAUGCGGAAGAAAGAGGAAGAGGGAAGCUGUAGCAGUGGCACCGAGGCCUGAUCACGCACUGUUCAUGGUGGAAGGUGAUUUUCCUCAACAGAUGCCAGUGCAACAAACAAAUGUGUCUAAGAAACGACUGAAAAGGAGACAAGAGAGCAGAGAGCAGGUCGGUCUGACCUACCCAUGUCGCAUGAGGAAAGCUGUAGGGGGUUUCACACCAACAUCAUCACGUAAUUGGGCUUCUGGCUUGGAGUGACAUUUUAGUGUUUUUUGGAGGGAGUCUGAGUCUGUGCUGGUCCAUUGAAGUGUGUGUCAAGUUGAUGCGUGCUAUCCAAUCAUGUUUCACUGAUUCCAAGUGAUGCUUAUCUCCUUGACCCUCUAACGCCGUAAUUGGAUCAAGCAGUAGGUGCAAAUGGAAAAGCCAAAGGUUCUCUAGUAUCUACCAAUCACCUUUAAACCUUCGCAAGGUUUAAAAGUUCAGUCUGACAAAAGUACAGAUAAAAUAAAGGUAUACAAUUUUUAAACAAAAAGAAUUUAAGGUACACUUAAAUUCACUUUUUUGUCAUAUUGCAGCCACAAAUUUCAGUGUCUUUUUUGGGGGGGAAUUUUAUGACAACACAAGAUAUCUGAGUAAAGGGAACUUUGUACAAAUCAAUGCCACACUUUUCAGAUUUCUUUGCUUAUGUGCUUUAAGAAUAUUUAUAUAAUCCAAUCAGUGUAUCUAAGUUGAAGAUCUUCCCAUGUAACUAAAUUGUCGCAUUAGAGAACGAGAGCCCCGCUUUAGAUGUCAGGAGUGAAUUAACUUUGUUUCAGAAACAAUAAAUUGACCACGCCGUGACCUUUCCGCGACUGAACCUUUGCACUUCAUUCGCUAUCGUGCCGAUACAUCUCGGAUUCCGCCUGACCAUCUUGUCUGUGUGUUAAGGAAGGAAAAAGUGUAGGGUCACUGGGAGUUUAGCAAACACAAAAGUCUGUCUAUGAUUUGACCUGAUCCACAGUUCCACCCUUGAGCAAAAAGACUCCAUUCAGAAGCGGCUGUCACGCUGCUGCACUUCCCGCUUUAGGAAAUCAAACGGCCUGCACUGGUUACGACCAAAUUUGAUACAGACCUGAUAUGGGAAGAAUAAACCUAAAGUAAUGGCAACGUGGUGGCUUACCUCUGUGAAAUUGUUUUUUAAUUACCUGGUGAUACAAUAAAGAUUCAAAC